rnacentral:rRNA from 1 species
AAUCAACGCUGGCGGCGUGCCUAACACAUGCAAGUCGAACGAGAAGGUGACUUCGGUCACUGGAUAGUGGCGUCCGGGUGAGUAACACGUAGGUAAUCUACCUUCGGGUGGGGAAUAACGUCUCGAAAGAGACGCUAAUACCGCAUAAUGCAGCGGCACCUAAUGGUGAUUAGUUGUUAAAGCGGGGGAUCUUCGGACCUCGCGCCUGAAGAGGAGCCUGCGGCAGAUUAGCUAGUUGGUGAGGUAAUGGCUCACCAAGGCUUCGAUCUGUAGCUGGUCUGAGAGGACGGCCAGCCACACUGGCACUGACACACGGGCCAGACUCCUACGGGAGGCGGCAGUGGGGAAUUUUGGGCAAUGGGCGAAAGCCUGACCCAGCAACGCCGCGUGAAGGAGGAAAUCCUUCGGGAUGUAAACUUCAUAAGUAAGGGAAGAAAGCUGCGGAUCGAAUAAGUCCGCAGUCCGACGGUACCUUACGUAAGCCACGGCUAACUACGU